GCGGCCAUGUUUGUAUCUUGAGAGUUUUCUGCGGUUUUUUUGUCCUACUAUUCCUUAUGUGAUUGGAACUCCGUCUUCUAAGAAUAUUCACAAAAAAUAUUUGCGUAACAGUUGGAUUAUCUAAAACUACAUCAUUACAAAGUUUCACGAUGUGCUGCAUAGUAAAAGGAUGCACUCGAAGUAGAUUAACUAAUAACGACGCAAGGUUUUACUCCAUUCCCAAAGUGAGAAAUGACGAAACAGAGUUGUUGGUGGAAAGAAGAGCUCUUUGGUUAAAAAGAGUUAACAUUAAAGAAAAACAACUGCUUGUUUCUGGUAAAGUUUGCGACAAGCACUUCAUUUUAGGCAAACCUAGUUAUGAACGUGAUAUAUCUAAUCCAGAUUGGGCACCAACUUUGUUAUUAGAAAACAACGAACAGCUUUCAGCAAACAGGUGUCAGAGAAGAUAUAUACUUAGCCAGGCUAGAGCAUUAUUAGAUAUUUCAGCAAGGUUUGCUAGGAAAGGAACUAUUUGCUUUGAAGAGCCUGAACAGCAGAUUGAGAUUGAUUCAAGACAUGAUGAUUGAAGUAAUUCUCCAUUACUUUCAUUGCUAUUGAUUAUGGCAAGCGAUUCGACACACGAACUACCAGACGGAGACUGAGACUGAGAGUCUUGGGAAACACAGGAACCUAAAAUGCUCUUCAAGCUAGCUGCAAGCAGUGGAACAAGGCAAGAGAGGGUAGAGUUACUGCCAGUAAAGUUUACGACGUGUCAAAAACCAACCUGAGUAAUCCUUCGAAAUCCCUAUUACAACAAGUGGCGUACCCAACGGAUUGUGCGUUCCGCUCAAAAGCCACAGACUGGGGGAUAAAGCACGAAGGGGCAGCAAUAAGGAGAUUCAAACAAUAUAUGAAAGAGGCAAACUUACAUACCAACUUUGAGAUACAUGGCGCUGGCUUGUAUGUUUGUCCUUCACAUGGAUAUUUGGCGGCAACCCCUGAUGGAAUUUUCAAAUGCGCUUGUCACGAAGAUGCUGUGAUGGAAAUGAAAUGUCCCUAUUCUCACAGGAAUAAUACUUCAGGCGAAGCUGCUACUCCCGAUACAAAGUUCUGUCUGACCGUAGACGACAAUGGAAUAUUACAACUAAAACGAUGUCAGCCCUACUUUUACACCAUGCUCUAUAGGUUCUAUGUACCUUAAGAAAACUCAAAAGCCAUCUAUUGAGCUUAGCAGGCGAAUUUCAUUCGUUUCCCUUUCCACAUUUCCCCUCCAUCCCAAAUGCUUCGCCCUAAAUCCCUUCGGGAAAUUUCAAGUUCAGUUGUCAAUCAGCAAGAUCAUGCGAUUUUAGUUGAUAGAUGGCACCGGCGGCCUGCCCUUUUCCCCCUCCUUCCUAAAUUAAAAUCGCAAUAUCUUCUUAAAUGAAACUUUUUUACAAUAAGAUGGUUAGAAUCGACUUUUAAAGCUGCAUUAAAUUGUUUAUUUUUUUAUUUUUCUCGUGAAAAUAGCCCACCCGACACCCUUUAACAAGGCGAGUUAGAGAAAGAAUCCCAUCCUUUAGUUAGAGUAGUCCCUGACUCUAAUCUGGGUUCCAGCCCCAUCGGGGACCACUUCGUCAGCGGGGGUUGAACGGGGAAAAUGAUGUCCCAAUAUUUAACUUAAUUUCAAGAGCAUUCGUAUUAAUAUGUGUUUGUUGUUCAAAUUAACAUGCCUCUAUGGCGCAAUUGGCUAGCGCGUUCGGCUGUUAACCGGAAGGCUGGUGGUUCGAGCCCACCUAGGGGCGCAAUAUUUUUCCUCUUUACCUAAAAUUUUGAGGGGUCUGGUAGGAAAGAAUCAAGGAAUACUGGUAAAGGACGAGAAGGCAUUUGCAGAAAAAUUUUGCAGCACUUCAAAAUUUUUAAGUGUAGGGCAAGGGCGGACAAGGGUUCCCGUGUGACCUAAUGACUUCAGCUAUCUACCAUACCCCCCCCCCCAAGCAUUACUUGUUCUGUAACAAGGUGCUUUGGAAUAACUUGCACUGCCUCUCUUUUCUUAUUCCACCUUUUUUAUAUUGAGAACUUGAAGGUUAAAAAGAGUCUAUAUUUAAUCAACUAUUUCCUGAUUCAAACGCCGCUGAUGAAGUUAUAAAUUAUUACCACUGGCGCUAAAUAUAGAUUUUUUUCCGCAA
rnacentral:tRNA from 1 species